AGCUCUGUAAGCGUAUACCAAAGUUGUUGCAGUUAAAACGCUCGUAGUCGGAACUUGGCGGACAAUUUGCUUCGUCCUCACGGAUGGUAGCAAAUUGGCCGCCUUUGUGGAGGGUGACCUACUGGUUCUUUACUGAAUCGUUAGGUUGCUGCCACCAUUUACUGUGAAAAAAUUAGAGUGUUCAAAGCAGGCGUUUGCCGUGAAUACAUUAGCAUGGAAUAAUAGAAUAGGACCUGGUUUCUAUUUUGUUGGUUUGUUAGAAUCGGGUAAUGAUUAAGAGGGAUGGUUGGGGGCAUUUGUAUUCCAGCGUCAGAGGUGAAAUUCUUGGAUUGUUGGAAGACAAACAGCUGCGAAAGCGUCUGCCAAGGACAUUUUCAU
rnacentral:rRNA from 1 species